GUACACGCUGUGACUAGCAUAUCAAUAAGCGGAGGAAAAGAAACUAACAAGGAUUCCCCUAGUAACGGCGAGUGAAGCGGGAAGAGCUCAAAUUUGAAAUCUUAAAGGGUUUCCCUUUACGAAUUGUAGUUUAAAGAAGUGUUUUCUGUUGAGGUUUUGGUAAAAGUUCUUUGGAAUAGGACAUCAUAGAGGGUGAGAAUCCCGUAUUUGACCUUUACUUUCAACUUUGUGAUACACUUUCAAAGAGUCGGAUUGUUUGGGAAUGCAGUCCAAAAUGGGUGGUAAAUUUCAUCUAAAGCUAAAUAUUGGCGAGAGACCGAUAGCGAACAAGUACCGUGAGGGAAAGAUGAAAAGAACUUUGAAAAGAGAGUUAAACAGUACGUGAAAUUGUCAAAAGGGAAGCGUUUGACACCAGUGUUGUUUUUCUGAAAAUCUAUUAAAGAACUGUUUAUGCUAAGCUGUUUAGACUUUAUCAGCUAACUGUUUAGUUUUGAGCUUUUCUUUAAUGCACUUUUCAGUUAACAAGUCAACAUCAAUUUCUUUUGCUGUAAAAAAGCUUGAGGAAGGUGGCUUGAGAUUCGUCUUAAGUGUUUAUAGCCUCUUGCCUAUGCAGUCGGAGAGAUUGAGGUCUGCAGCGUAGAUCCUUCGGGGCUAAAUGCAUUUGUGCUAAGUUAUAGCAUUUUAUAGACAACUUGUUGACUAUGAUUUGUCUUGUAGCUUACUCGCUUAUGUUAUUUUACCUACGCUUAGGAUGUUGACGCGCGUGUGUGCGUG
rnacentral:rRNA from 1 species